rnacentral:rRNA from 1 species
UACGAAGGGGGCGAGCGUUGUUCGGAUUUACUGGGCGUAAAGGGCGCGCAGGCGGCGAGUUUUGUCAGGCGUGAAAGCCCCGGGCUCAACCUGGGAAUUGCGCUUGAAACGGGCUUGCUAGAGAUCGGGAGAGGAGCGUGGAAUUCCCAGUGUAGAGGUGAAAUUCGUAGAUAUUGGGAAGAACACCAGUGGCGAAGGCGGCGCUCUGGACCGAGACUGACGCUGAGGCGCGAAAGCGUGGGGAGCAAACAGG